GACCCGUCUUGAAACACGGACCAAGGAGUCCAAGGCGCGUGCGAGUUCCCGGGACUUGACCAGGCCCGAGGGCGCAAUGAAAGUGAAGGGGAGCUUACAUGCUCCCUGAGUUGGGAUCCCCUCCCCCUGCGGGCGGGGCGCACCAACGGCCCGUCCACCUUCGGCUUCGAAGGGGCGGAGCAAGAGCACGUGCCUUGGGACCCGAAAGAUGGUGAACUAUGCCUGGGCAGGACGAAGCCAGAGGAAACUCUGGUGGAGGUCCGUAGCGAUUCUGACGUGCAAAUCGAUCGUCAGACCUUGGUAUAGGGGCGAAAGACUAAUCGAACCAUCUAGUAGCUGGUUCCUUCCGA
rnacentral:rRNA from 1 species